UGAACUUAAGCAUAUCAAUAAGCGGAGGAAAAGAAACCAACAGGGAUUGCCUCAGUAACGGCGAGUGAAGCGGCAACAGCUCAAAUUUGAAAUCUGGCCGCAAGGUCCGAGUUGUAAUUUGUAGAGGAUGCUUUUGGCGAGGUGACUUCCGAGUUCCCUGGAACGGGACGCCAUAGAGGGUGAGAGCCCCGUACGGUCGUGCCACCGAGCCUCUGUAAAGCUCCUUCGACGAGUCGAGUAGUUUGGGAAUGCUGCUCUAAAUGGGAGGUGUACGUCUUCUAAAGCUAAAUACCGGCCAGAGACCGAUAGCGCACAAGUAGAGUGAUCGAAAGAUGAAAAGCACUUUGAAAAGAGGGUUAAAAAGUACGUGAAAUUGUUGAAAGGGAAGCAUUCAUGACCAGACUUGGGCUUGGUUGAACAUCCGGCGUUCUCGCCGGUGCACUCUGCCAGCUCAGGCCAGCAUCAGUUUGCCCCGGGGGACAAAGGCGGCGGGAAUGUGGCUCCCUACGGGGAGUGUUAUAGCCCGUCGUGUAAUGCCCUGGGGUGGACUGAGGUUCGCGC
rnacentral:sRNA from 1 species